CUACGGGCCGCACCAGUGGGGAAUUUUGGACAAUGGGCGCAAGCCUGAUCCAGCCAUGCCGCGUGAGUGAAGAAGGCCUUCGGGUUGUAAAGCUCUUUCAGGUGGGAAGAAACGGUUAAUGUUAAUAGCAUUGACUACUGACGGUACCACCAGAAGAAGCACCGGCUAACUACGUGCCAGCAGCCGCGGUAAUACGUAGGGUGCGAGCGUUAAUCGGAAUUACUGGGCGUAAAGGGUGCGCAGGCGGUUUUGUAAGCCAGAUGUGAAAUCCCCGGGCUCAACCUGGGAACUGCAUUUGGGACUGCAAGGCUAGAGUACGGCAGAGGGGGGUAGAAUUCCACGUGUAGCAGUGAAAUGCGUAGAUAUGUGGAGGAAUACCGAUGGCGAAGGCAGCCCCCUGGGUCGAUACUGACGCUCAGGCACGAAAGCGUGGGGAGCAAACAGGAUUAGAUACCCGCGUAGUC
rnacentral:rRNA from 1 species